GACGAACGCUGGCGGCGUGCUUAACACAUGCAAGUCGAACGGAAAGGCCCUGCUUUUGUGGGGUGCUCGAGUGGCGAACGGGUGAGUAACACGUGAGUAACCUGCCCUUGACUUUGGGAUAACUUCAGGAAACUGGGGCUAAUACCGGAUAGGAGCUCCUGCUGCAUGGUGGGGGUUGGAAAGUUUCGGCGGUUGGGGAUGGACUCGCGGCGUGUCAGCUUGUUGGUGGGGUAGUGGCUUACCAAGGCUUUGACGGGUAGCCGGCGUGAGCGGGUGACAGGCCGCAUUGGGACUGAGAUACGGCCAAGACUCCUACGGGAGGCCGGAGUGGGGAAUAUUGCAGAAUGGGCGGAGGCCUGAGGCAGCAGCGCCGCGUGCGGGAUGACGGCCUUCGGGUUGUAAACCGCUUUCGCCUGUGACGAAGCGUGAGUGACGGUAAUGGGUAAAGAAGCACCGGCUAACUACGUGCCAGCCGCCGCAGUAAAAC
rnacentral:rRNA from 1 species